UACGUAGGGUGCGAGCGUUAAUCGGAAUUACUGGGCGUAAAGUGUGCGCAGGUGGCCGCGCAUGUCGAGUGUGAAAUCCCCGGGCUUAACUUGGGAAUUGCGCUCGAAACUACGUGGCUCGAGUGUGGCAGAGGAAGGUGGAAUUCCACGUGUAGCGGUGAAAUGCGUAGAGAUGUGGAGGAACACCGAUGGCGAAGGCAGCCUUCUGGGCCGAACAC
rnacentral:rRNA from 1 species